AUGAUGUUGUAUAUUUAAUUUCUAAUAAGGUAUGAAGUUCUUCAGUAAAAUUGGUUUUGCUGUUGAAGAGCAGCUAAUGACAGGGGAAAAUGUAUUGAAGUUGAUGGAAUCAUCCCUAGCUAGAAGGGCAAUGCAAAUUAUGAUGCUACAAAGUUUAUUGAGCUUGCUUCUUCUAAUUGAUGUUACACCCCCUACAAAAGCAGAAAGAGUUUUAUGUUUCUAGGAAUUUCGAGAAAAAAAAAAUGAAGAAAAAGCUGAAAGAGAUCAGAGAUGAUGUGGCUGCAGCUUUCACAGACCAAGGAGUGCCAUUUUUGUUGUGUCUAAGAUGAAUAUUUGAUUUUUGAAGAUCAAUGUUCAGAUAUGUUCUCUUCUUAUUUUUAAACAUGUAAUUCCAAAGUCAUGAGUCCAUGACUGUGUUUGACUAUGCUUUUAUAUUUCCAAUAAUCGAAUUUAUCA